UGUUCGAGUACUGUUAUCAUUCCUGCUCAGAGGAACAGAUAUAAGGCCUGUAGGUCACCUGAUCUGAACCCUUUCUUCUCGUCUUGUGCUUGCUUUCGGAUCGUCUCGCUGCUGCUCCCAACUGCAUGCAAGGCUUCAGUAUUUGUACAGCUGCCCAGAGAGGUUACAGAGUUUUGUAACAUGCCCUGUUCACAGAUGGAUCGUGUCGUAUUGUGGGGAGGCAGAUGGAAAGCUGCUGUGUGGAGCCCCACACGACAAGUUGCAGAGGCCACUGAAGGUAAAGGAGAAUCAAGUCAGUUCGCAGAGGUAAAGGCUAUCCAACUGGCCUUAGAUGUUGCUGAACGGGAGAGAUGGCCAAUGCUUUUUCUUUAUACUGACUCAUGGAUGGUGGCAAAUGCCUUAUGGGGGUGGUUACAGCAGUGGGAGCAAAAUAACUGGCAACGGAGGGGUAAACCUGUUUGGGCUGCUGAACUGUGGAAAGACAUUGCUGCCCGAAUAAAGAAUAUGGUUGUAAAGGUGCGCCAUGUAGAUGCUCAUGUAGCCCAAGAAUCGGGCUACUGAAGAACAACAAAACAACCAUCAGGUAGAUCGAGCUGCCAAAAUUGAGGUGGCUCAAAUAGACUUGGACUGGAAAAACAAGAGUGAAUUAUUUCUAGCUCGGUGGGCCCAUGAAACUUCGGGUCAUCAAGGAAGAGAUGCAACAUAUAAAUGGGCUAGAGACCGAGGGAUGGACUUAACUAUGGACGCUAUUGCACAAGUUAUUCAUGACUGUGAAACGUGCCAUAAUUAAACAAGCCAAGAGGAUGAAACCUCUCUGGGAGGAAGGGCGAUGGCAAAAGUAUAAAUAUGGGGAGGCAUGGCAGGUUGAUUAUAUCACCUUGCCAAGAUCUCGCAAUGGUAAGCGUUACGUGCUCACCAUGGUGGAGACAACCACUGGGUUGCUUGAAACAUAUGCAAUACCCCAUGCUACCACCCAAAACACCAUAUUAGGCCUCGAGAAACAAGUUCUCUGGUGACAUGGUACCCCAGAGAGAGUCGAAUCAGAUAAUGGGACUCAUUUCAAAAAUUCCCUUGUAAGUACUUGGGCCAAAGAUCAUGGCAUUGAGUGGAUUUAUCAUAUCC
ensembl:lncRNA